CACGUAGGGCGCAAGCGUUGUCCGGAAUUAUUGGGCGUAAAGAGCUCGUAGGUGGUUUGUCGCGUUGUUCGUGAAAACCGGGGGCUUAACCCUCGGCGUGCGGGCGAUACGGGCAGACUGGAGUACUGCAGGGGAGACUGGAAUUCCUGGUGUAGCGGUGGAAUGCGCAGAUAUCAGGAGGAACACCGGUGGCGAAGGCGGGUCUCUGGGCAGUAACUGACGCUGAGGAGCGAAAGCGUGGGGAGCGAACAGG
rnacentral:rRNA from 1 species